CAGGUGCUCCAGGGGCCAUCCGUGUGCCACAGAUCAGUGUCCCUCUGAGGGAAUAACAGGAACAAGUUUUGUCCAUUAAUUUCUAUGGUGUUCGAAUGCAAACAUACAAGGCAUCCAACCAAGGAAGCACAGGAGGCAGUACAUGGACCUCCUCCUGGUUCUUGUUCCCAGUGAAGAAGAGGAAUGAAGAAAUUCACACAUGAAGAAAUUCAUAAGCACCAGACAAGGCUGCAGCUGUAAAACAGGACAUUUACCCUUUCUGUUUCAAGCAACUUUAAUAAUUUUACAGUAUAAUUUCA